ACACCUGCCUUCCUUUUGCCAAGGCCAAGUAAUAGGGGGUUUCAGCUGCGGCUCCAUGCAGCUAGGCAUCCCUGCAGCUAAGUUUCCUGAGCAAGUAGUAGAUAAUCUUUCAGCCAGUAUAUCCACUAACAUUUAUUAUGGUCAGGUGAGUGUUAAAAGUAAAAAUAUCCACCAAAAAAGAACUUUCAUUCUUUAAGGUCACUUAUAUUAA
rnacentral:lncRNA from 1 species